GACGGAGGAUGCGAGCGUUAUCCGGAAUGAUUGGGCGUAAAGCGUCCGCAGGUGGCAGUUCAAGUCUGCUGUCAAAGACCGGGGCUUAACUUCGGAAAGGCAGUGGAAACUGAACAGCUAGAGUAUGGUAGGGGCAGAGGGAAUUCCUGGUGUAGCGGUGAAAUGCGUAGAUAUCAGGAAGAACAUCGGUGGCGAAGGCGCUCUGCUGGACCAUAACUGACACUCAGGGACGAAAGCUAGGGGAGCGAAUGGG
rnacentral:rRNA from 1 species